AAUAAGUGCAGUUUUACACUGUUUAUGUCUCACGUUUGACCGUUCAUUUUAUUUGAAAUUUUUUUACGAUUAAUAUUUUUAUUGUUAUUAGAUGAUAAAACAUGAAUAGUGUGACUAACUUAUUUUAUUUUUUUAUAAAUUUUUUAAAUAAGACGAAUGGUCAAACGUUGGACACGGAUACCCACGGCUGCACUUAUU
rfam:Oryza glumipatula chromosome 1, whole genome shotgun sequence.